UGUUCUUCCACCUCAGUUUUCGUUCAACCUCAUCGUUCUAAGCUUCGUCGGAGGGCUCGCCUCGGCCACCGACAAUGAUGCGCUGGAGAGGGCCUUUUCUCUGUUCGAUCAUCAAUGACCGUGAGAUCGGGAGGUCCAGGGCCUUCGGCUUCGGCUUCGUCACCUUCAGCAAAGAGAAGGCCAUGAGGGACGCGAUCGAAGGCAUGAACGACCAGAACCUCGACAGUCGUAACACUGAGGCCUACAUUAUUCAUUAAACUUCUAGUGGUGUACUGCUGAUUACGAUUUGGGUUCCAUUUUCAUAAAAUAAGUUGUUGGAUAAUUGGACUUGGUUGACAUGAUAUUCUGAGCCUAAGAAAUUCUUGGCUUGGGAUCUAUGGAGUUCACCAUAUGACUUUUGGGACCUACAGGAUUCACCAAAUCAUCAAGUUACAACUGGGAGCACUUAUCGCGCAGAAUCUGGAUGGGAGUGCGACUUCUACUUCGGUUGUGGUCGUGAUCUGAUAGAAGAAGAUGCAAUAAAUGAGAAAUGAUACAUACAAGUGUUGGCUGCUGCUUAAAAGUAUUGUUUAUUAUUGUUCAUGUGGUCUCCAUGUCAUAUCUAAUUCAGUCCAUCACAGAAUUGCAAAUUCUGUUAAAACAUCUGGGACUCUAAGGGAGAGACUGUUUCAAACUGCCUACAGUUCCAAGAAGCAAUCCAUAAUGAGUGGUUCGAAUGGAUCACCAAUAUGGGACAGAUUGGUGUUCAACAAAAUAAAGGAAAAGCUUGGAGGACGAGUUCGUUUUAUGGGAUUCGGUGCUUCACCCUUGUCCCCUGAUGUCAUGGACUUCCUUAGAGUGUAAGUUGGCUAUCUUAUAGAAUGCAAUUUUAAAAAAAAUUUCAUUUUUUUUUUCUCAAGUGUUAAGACCAAUGAAAUUUUUGCUGCAUAUGUAACGAAAAUCGUAGGUGCUUUAGCUGUCAAGUAAUUGAAGGAUAUGGUAUGACAGAGACUUCUUGUGCCAUGAGCAUGAUGGAUGAGGGUGACAACUUAUCUGGCCACGUCUGGUCCCCUAA